rnacentral:rRNA from 1 species
GACGAACGCUGGCGGCGUGCCUAAUACAUGCAAGUAGAACGCACAGUUUAUACCGUAGCUUGCUACACCAUAGACUGUGAGUUGCGAACGGGUGAGUAACGCGUAGGUAACCUGCCUGGUAGCGGGGGAUAACUAUUGGAAACGAUAGCUAAUACCGCAUAAUAUUGAUUAUUGCAUGAUAAUUGAUUGAAAGAUGCUAUUGCAUCACUACCAGAUGGACCUGCGUUGUAUUAGCUAGUAGGUGAGGUAACGGCUCACCUAGGCGACGAUACAUAGCCGACCUGAGAGGGUGAUCGGCCACCAUGGGAAUGAGACAAGGCCCAGACUCCUACGGGAGGCAGCAGUAGGGAAUCUUCGGCAAUGGACGAAAGUCUGACCGAGCAACGCCGCGUGAGUGAAGAAGGGUUUCGGAUCGUAAAGCUCUGUUGUAAGAGAAGAACGGGUGUGAGAGUGGAAAGUUCACACUGUGACGGUAUCUUAACAGAAAGAGACGGCUAACUACGUG